GUCAUCACCAAUUUAUAAUAAUGUUAGCAGACAAUGCCGCGCAAAGUUCAAAUUGCGCCAAAAUCUGGUCUGAAGAAAGAGUGCAUUCUGCUUGACAAUCGUGUGUAUGGAUUCAGUAUGGAGAUCAAGAUCGAACAAACUGGCAAUAUUUUGAUGGGUGCUUAUUAAAGAUUGAUGUGUAAUCAGUUAGGUAUAAUAGUCAAAAAGCUGUAGGUAUCGCACCACUUAAUCAGUUAUUAUUUGCUUUAGUAUACAGUAUGUUAGAUACGCCGGGUACCACGGCUUUCAAGCAGGGCUAUCACAACCGCGAGUUGAUUGUAAUAUAUUCAUUAUAAUAUGCUCAUUUCUAU